rnacentral:piRNA from 1 species
GGUUAAGGGCACUGACUGCUGUUCC